GCGCCCGUAGCUCAGUUGGUAGAGCUGCUCCCUCUUAAGGAGAAGGUCGUUGGUUCGACUCCAACCGGGCGGACUA
rnacentral:tRNA from 1 species